rnacentral:rRNA from 1 species
UACGUAGGGUGCGAGCGUUGUCCGGAAUUAUUGGGCGUAAAGAGCUUGUAGGCGGCUCGUCACGUCGGGUGUGAAAACUCGCGGCUCAACCGCGAGCCUGCACCCGAUACGGGCGGGCUAGAGUUCGGCAGGGGAGACUGGAAUUCCUGGUGUAGCGGUGGAAUGCGCAGAUAUCAGGAGGAACACCGGUGGCGAAGGCGGGUCUCUGGGCCGAUACUGACGCUGAGAAGCGAAAGCGUGGGGAGCGAACAGG